UAAUCUGGUCAGAACACUCAUAUAUUCACCCAUGUCUAUUUGUAGUGGUGGUAGGCUUUCAUAUCUCCCGUGAUCAUUGCACCAGGGUAACGGACUUGGUUAUGAUUUUCAUAUUUUCUCCAUUUACAGAAGCAGUCAGACUGAUAAAAGGCCUGAGUGGUGCAACGCUUGAAGAAAUUGAAGCAGGAGCCAAGGGUUGGCUGAAGAACUGCCGAGCAUGCGUAAAUAGCGCCACAAAAAGGAAGCUUCCACGAGUCUGAGAGUUAAGAAACUCCCAUGAGUCAGCUGGAAACUUCCACAAGUCAUCUGGAUUGCAAGCCAUUAUUUCAUUUCUUAUUGUUCUAAAACUAAUAAGCAGUGCAUUGAAAGCUUCAAUUAUAUUUACGUACCUAUUUUACUAAUAAACAUGUUUUUACAGUUCUU